rnacentral:rRNA from 1 species
CCUACGGGAGGCAGCAGUGGGGAAUAUUGCACAAUGGGGGAAACCCUGAUGCAGCGACGCCGCGUGAGUGAAGAAGUAUUUCGGUAUGUAAAGCUCUAUCAGCAGGGAAGAAAAUGACGGUACCUGAUUCAGAAGCCCCGGCUACCUACGUGCCAGCAGCCGCGGUAAUACGUAGGGGGCAAGCGUUAUCCGGAUUUACUGGGUGUAAAGGGAGCGUAGACGGGAGCACAAGUCUGGAGUGAAAUGCCGGGGCUUAACCCCGGAACUGCUUUGGAAACUGUGCAGCUAGAGUGCAGGAGAGGUAAGUGGAAUUCGUAGUGUAGCGGUGAAAUGCGUAGAUAUUAGGAGGAACACCAGUGGCGAAGGCGGCUUACUGGACUGUAACUGACGUUGAGGCUCGAAAGCGUGGGGAGCAAACAGGAUUAGAUACCCGGGUAGUC